rnacentral:rRNA from 1 species
UAAUACGGAGGGAGCAAGCGUUACUCGGAAUUACUGGGCGUAAAGAGCUCGUAGGCGGCUUGUCGCGUUGUUCGUGAAAAUUUACCGCUCAACGGUGAACUUGCGGGCGAUACGGGCAGGCUAGAGUACUGCAGGGGAGACUGGAAUUCCUGGUGUAGCGGUGAAAUGCGCAGAUAUCAGGAGGAACACCGGUGGCGAAGGCGGGUCUCUGGGCAGUAACUGACGCUGAGGAGCGAAAGCGUGGGGAGCGAACAG